AGAAGAAAACCUCAAAUGUUUUAUAAUCUUACAGAGGAGAAGAUAUUCCUGAGAUGACACCAAAAUGCAGGAGCCGUAAAGGGAAAAAAACUAAUGACCAGUAACAAUUUUAGAUGCCUGGCUUAUAGAAAAAAAUACACACAAAGUCAAAGACCUAAUGACAGACAGAAAAAACAAACGCUUCUACUAGACAAAAGGUGAAUUUCCUUAAUCUGUAAAGUGCACCUAGAAACCACCACCAUCCACCCAACACAAAAAUGAGCCAAAAAGAUAAAAUACAAAUGGCUUUUAAAUAGUCAAACGUUUAUAAUAAAUAUAUUUUCCAAUCUCGAAAUAAUUAUCAGUGGUAACAAUCAUCAACGUAAAAUAGACGUGACAGGAGCAUUACGAUGUUUCAUUAUACUUACAGGAAAUACAACUAAAGCUACAGUGAAACACUAUCUCACGCCUACCAGGUCUACAAAAUCCAGCUUGGGCAAGGUGUCACUGGCCCCCUCUUACAUGCUGGUGGGGGAGGGCAAUUUGGUACCACCCCUUUAGGGGCCUAAAUAAAGCCCCUAGCACUUCUGCACCAAGGAAUUUAGCCUAAGAAAAUAGUCCGACUUGGGCAAAAAAGGAUUUGUACAAGGAAUAGUCAAGUUAGCAUUGUUCGUUAUAAAAGUAAAGACCCUAAAUUUCCACAGGAAAGGGGAUAAAUUCUGGAGCUAUAAAACUCCCUUUUCGUGUUAGUCCCACCUGUAUCUGAACGUAUGGGCGCCCCCUAAGCUACAUUAAGCAUAAGGACCCCAAGUAAAGAAACUGACCUUUUGCAGAAACGCAUGUACAUGUUCCUGCAUAGACUUUCUCUGUUGACACGUAAGAAACGGGUUUCUCUCUGCCCCAGGGGAGGAGAACUGGGCCUCGGAGGUUAGGACUGGGAAAAACACAUCAAGUCUUCACCAAACACCCUUUCAGGCUCCUUGAAUUUUCUACCCUGUGCACCUGAACACACUUUUGUUCUCUUGCAAGCAGUUGCUUUGCACUGGCGGCAACGAGGACACGGCUGAGUCCCAGCUCGCAGGGAGCUUAGGUUCUGACGGCGUCAGAAGACAACACGCUCUGGACGAGCGCAACGCCCAAGGGUCAGCGGCAGCAGCGAGCAGGGGGCACGGGAUGCGGGGAGGCUCUUCGGAAGGCAUGAAAGUCAGACGUGUUCCGAAACGUGAGCCGCGCUGGGGGGCGCGGCGCACGACCGGGGACAGAAGGAGGCCACUGCGGUCGCAAAGUCUAGGCCGUGCAAAGGCCCCGUGGGCAGCCAGGAGCCCAGGCAUUCCCUGCUCUAGCGAGGUUUCCUUCCGAACGUCCGGUCGCACCGCUUCCCAUGGAACGGCGGGCGCUGCCCCACAGCACCGACCCCGCGGCGGCCUCCACGCGCCCACGAGGAACUUUAGGCCGAGGGAAGGCGUGGGAGGGGCCGGAAACGGGCAGGGCCGAAGCGGACGGGUCCCUGGCUGGGUCCCAGCGGCCGCCACUUACCACCGAGACCGCCUCUUCGUCCACAGCCUGACGCCAACCACCGCCGCCAUCGCCACUUCCGCACGCGCGCCGCCACUUCCGCUUCCGUCAGU
ensembl:lncRNA